rnacentral:rRNA from 1 species
AGUGAACGCUGGCGGUAGGCCUAACACAUGCAAGUCGAACGGCAGCACAGUAAGAGCUUGCUCUUACGGGUGGCGAGUGGCGGACGGGUGAGGAAUACAUCGGAAUCUACUUUUUCGUGGGGGAUAACGUAGGGAAACUUACGCUAAUACCGCAUACGACCUACGGGUGAAAGCAGGGGAUCUUCGGACCUUUCGCGAUUGAAUGAGCCGAUGUCGGAUUAGCUAGUUGGCGGGGUAAAGGCCCACCAAGGCGACGAUCCGUAGCUGGUCUGAGAGGAUGAUCAGCCACACUGGAACCUAGACACGGUCCAGACUCCUACGGGAGGCAGCAGUGGGGAAUAUUGGACAAUGGGCGCAAGCCUGAUCCAGCCAUACCGCGUGGGUGAAGAAGGCCUUCGGGUUGUAAAGCCCUUUUGUUGGGAAAGAAAAGCAGCAGGUUAAUACCCCGCUGUUCUGACGGUACCCAAAGAAUAAGCACCGGCUAACUUCGUG